GUGAAUCAUCGAAUUUUUGAACGCAAAUUGCACUCCCUGGUAUUCCGGGGAGUAUGCCUGUUUGAGGGUCGUUAGAAUAAAAAACCGAUGCGUCGCUCUUUUUUUUAAGGGUGAUUGGGUAGGAAUUGAGCUGUCUUUCAGAUGUUAAUUCUUGACAAAGUGGCUUGAAAUUAAUCUAUCCGGUAC
rnacentral:misc_RNA from 1 species